rnacentral:tRNA from 3 species
GCGGGAAUAGCUCAGUUGGUAGAGCUCUACCUUGCCAAGGUAGAUGUCGCGGGUUCAAGUCCCGUUUCCCGCUCCA